AUACUUAUAGUCUUGUUGUGUUUGGAUCUGUCUGCGUGCAUGUGAGCGAUCUCAAGGAACUACGCCAAAACUCUACACAAUAGCGUGAAAAUAUUUGCAGAACCUUACUCAGCUUUUUCCCUUUUUCUGGUGAACCU